GUUUAUUAUCAUUAUCAAGUAUUACAUAGUGUACAUAAUUGAAUGUGCUAUACUUUUAUAUGACUGGUAGUGCAGUAAGUUUGCUUGCACCAGCAUCACCGCAAACUGUGAGUAAUGCAUUACUCCAUGACGUUAGGAUGGCUAGGUUCACAAGGCGAUAGGAAUUUUUCAGCUCCAUUAUAAUCAUGGGACUGCCUUGGUAUAUGCGGGCUGUUGUUGACAGAAACGUCAUUAUGUCACGCAAGACUAGAUAAUGAGGGAAUCCUUUUCCUCCUAAUUGGUUAUUUGAGCUGUUUAAUCUCCCUUCCACUCCCAGCAAGUGUAGUCAUUAAAAUACCUUACAUAACUAUGGAGCCUUCAUGAUUAGAACUGCGAUAUGAUGAUGUUACAUACCCACUCAGGGUUCUCUGCUUCAGGGCCAAAGUUUGGGCAAUGUCACACCUAUUGUACUUUUUGGAUGGGUUUCUCUGUCAUGAGAGGAAUGGGAAAUGAAAGAAGGAUGAGCCCAAUGUAAUUCUGAGAAUCAGAUUUAACUAGUAUCUGAUAAAGCUUGCAAAAUUUCC
rnacentral:lncRNA from 10 species